GAUGAACGCUGGCGGCGUGCCUAAUACAUGCAAGUCGAGCGAACAGACGAGGAGCUUGCUCCUCUGACGUUAGCGGCGGACGGGUGAGUAACACGUGGAUAACCUACCUAUAAGACUGGGAUAACUUCGGGAAACCGGAGCUAAUACCGGAUAAUAUAUUGAACCGCAUGGUUCAAUAGUGAAAGACGGUUUUGCUGUCACUUAUAGAUGGAUCCGCGCCGCAUUAGCUAGUUGGUAAGGUAACGGCUUACCAAGGCAACGAUGCGUAGCCGACCCGAGAGGGUGAUCGGCCACACUGGAACUGAGACACGGUCCAGACUCCUACGGGAGGCAGCAGUAGGGAAUCUUCCGCAAUGGGCGAAAGCCUGACGGAGCAACGCCGUGUGAGUGAUGAAGGUCUUCGGAUCGUAAAACUCUGUUAUUAGGGAAGAACAAAUGUGUAAGUAACUAUGCACGUCUUGACGGUACCUAAUCAGAAAGCCACGGCUAACUACGUG
rnacentral:rRNA from 1 species